rnacentral:rRNA from 1 species
UCCCCACUCCAGGGAUCGAGCCCACGUCCCGAUUAGCUAGUUGGUAGGGUAAAGGCCGUACCAAGGCCCACGAUCGGUAGCUGGUCUGAGAGGAUGACCAGCCCACACUGGGACUGAGACCACGGCCCAGACUCCUACGGGAGGCAGCAGUGGGGAAUAUUGGACAAUGGGCGCAAGCCCUGAUCCAGCAAUGCCGCGUGUGUGAAGAAGGCCUGCGGGUUGUAAAGCACUUUCAGUGGGGAAGAACGGGCCCAAGGUUAAUACCCCUGGCUUCUGACGUUACCCACAGAAGAAGCACCCGGCUAACUCCGUG